UUAAUUGAAGCCAAAAUAGAGGCCUAUUACUGUUAAUAAUAAAAUUGAAUUUACUCCUCCAAUUAAA
rnacentral:tRNA from 1 species